GAUGGUGUGACCUAGUGGGAAGAGCACUGGACUUGGGAGUCAGGAGCCCUGGGUUCUAUUCCCAGCUCCGUCA
rnacentral:tRNA from 1 species